UACAGAGAGUGCAAGCGUUAAUCGGAAUCAUUGGGCGUAAAGCGCGCGUAGGUGGAUAUUUAAGUCGGAUGUGAAAGCCCUAGGCUUAACCUGGGAACUGCAUUCGAUACUGGGUAUCUUGAGUCUGGUAGAGGGAAGUGGAAUUUCAGGUGUAGCGGUGAAAUGCGUAGAUAUCUGAAGGAACACCAGUGGCGAAGGCGGCUUCCUGGACCAGUACUGACACUGAGGUGCGAAAGCGUGGGGAUCAAACAGG
rnacentral:rRNA from 1 species